rnacentral:tRNA from 1 species
GCAUUGGUGGUUUAGCGGUAGAAUUCUCACCUUCCAUACAGGAGAUCUGGGUUCAAUUCCAGCCAAUGCA